rnacentral:rRNA from 1 species
CCUACGGGUGGCAGCAGUGAGGAAUAUUCGUCAAUGGACGCAAGUCUGAACCAGCCAUGCCGCGUGCAGGAAGACGGCUCUAUGAGUUGUAAACUGCUUUUGUACGAGGGUAAACGCAGAUACGCGUAUCUUUCUGAAAGUAUCGUACGAAUAAGGAUCGGGUAAAUCCGUGCCAGCAGCCGCGGUAAUACGGAGGAUUCAAGCGUUAUCCGGAUUUAUUGGGUUUAAAGGGUGCGUGGGCGGUCGUAUUAGUGAGAGGUGAAAUCCCGAGGCUCAACUUCGGGAUUGCCUUUGAUACUGUUCGGCUAGGGAGUAGUUGCGGUAGGCGGAAUGUAUGGUGGAGCGGUGAAAUGCUUAGAGAUCAUACAGAAAACCGAUUGCGAAGGCAGCUUACCAAGCUACUUCUGACGUUGAGGCACGAAAGCGUGGGGAGCAAACAGGAUUAGAUACCCCGAGUAGUC